CAGCUCUUAAAAAAUGUAUGUAUUGUCUCUAAGGUUUUAAAUAUGCCAUCAUAUAUGCCAUCUCUACAGAUAUUUCAGACACUGUAUGGAAUCUUGAAGAACACCAGAAACUAAUGCUAGUGUAAGCGUCACAUCCUGUGACUGUUUCAGGUGGUUAAAUUUAGGUAAGAUUAAACCUAUCUUCAUUCUCGAAUUAAUGAUUUUGUAAGUGGAAUUGAUUUGCUGAGGCGAUCGGCUCCGGGGCAGACGCGUUCUGCAGCAGAGCGGGGGAUCGGGCCAGGCAGGGCUAACUUUCCGGCAUCGAGCUGACUUCAGGGAGCCGCCAGGACCCGGCAGCCCUCGUGAGGGAGGCUGACGAGGCGAAGGCGGAGCCAGCAGCGCCCUCUCCCCGGCCGUUCAAAAGCAGCCCCUAGGGAGCGCGAGCGACACCUCUUAACGACAGUCGUUAGUUAGGUGAUAAUGGUCUCCACAAGGCACGGUGCGCUCUCCGGAGGCUAUACCGGAGACAUUCUGCUCUGAGGUGCCCAGGAGUAAGUCAUUCCACCUACCUCCAUGUGUUUUGGAGAUUGCUUACAUUUGUGCUAGCAUGAAAUGAGUACUCAAAUGCACAGGAUGUUGCGUGCUCUGGAUCUCCACCUGAGACUGCUUUUGAACGCUUUCUGUAUGGAACAUGGGCCAGUCCGACCAUGGGGAAUGCACCUGAAGGGAUUUCAGACUCCUCUGGAGAGACAGAAGUAAAACCUGUAAACAAGACUGCAGAUAUAGAAACAAUGCACAACAGUAGCAAUGUGGUGCAGGAAGAUAGUAAGCCACUAACAGCCUAUCUGAUAGCAUAAAAUACAAUCAAUUCUGACACAAGAAGGUAGGCAGAUAAGAUAGUUACCUUUAAGAUGGUAGAAAUUAGGAGGGAAAAAAAAAAAAAAAGUCAUCCAAAAAAAAGCCUUUUUGUCUUUUCAAACAUGGUCUUAUUAAGCACCUAAGAUUCAUUUCCGAAUUAAAAUUCAUGUCACUUUUGGUAAGUAUUAGAGAGAAUAAACAAAAUAAAACUACAAAAAUAAAGAAGACU
rnacentral:lncRNA from 1 species